CUCCUUGAGGGAGAGCAUCUCAUGUUGGGCACAGCAGGAGAAGUGACCCAUCAGUACGAGUGUUUCUCUGCUGGAAGCCAUUCGUUCUCAGCAAGGAGAUAUGGGGAGCAGUCAGGAAAGCUCAGCAGUGCCAAACGGGAUCUGAGUCCCUGCAAACAGUGACUGGAGGAGUGCAACACCUCUACCAGCCCAAAGCAGAGCCAUGGACACAUUCCUUUUCACAUUGUUGUCUUUACAUGGCUAUGGGUGCUUAAUUGCAUCAUAUUCCAGCUCUUGCAAAAUACCAUUUGAACAAAUGUCCUUGUUGUGAUCUGGCAAUUUAAAUUAUCCUGUCUGCAG
ensembl:lncRNA